rnacentral:lncRNA from 1 species
GAGAGAGUUCAUAAAUGAAGUGGGAACUAUGGGAAAAAUUCAUCAUGUUAAUGUUGUCCGGUUGCUUGGCUUUUGUGCCGAUGGAUUUUAUCGUGCUUUGGUUUAUGACUUUUUCCCAAAUGGUUCAUUGCAAAAUUUCAUUUCUUCACCUGACAACAAGGAUGUUUUCCUUGGUUGGGACUUAUUGCAACAAAUUGCUCUUGGCAUUGCCAAUGGGAUUGAGUAUCUUCACCAAGGCUGUGAUCAUAGAAUUCUUCACUUCGAUAUCAAUCCACAUAAUGUAUUAUUAGAUGACAAUUUCGUUCCAAAAAUAUCAGACUUCGGUUUAGCUAAGCUGUGCUCCAAAAAUCAAAGUACAGUAUCAAUGACCGCAGCCAGGGGAACUUUAGGGUACAUGGCACCUGAAGUUUUUUCUCGAAACUUUGGGAAUGUCUCUUAUAAGUCUGAUAUAUACAGCUACGGUAUGUUGCUGCUGGAGAUGGUUGGAGGAAGAAAGAAUACUAAGACAGUCACAGGUGAAGAAAAUUUUCAAGUAUUGUAUCCAGAUUGGAUCCAUGGUUUAUUUGAAGGUGGAGACGUAUAUAUCCCAAUUGAUGAAGAGGGAGAUUUUAGAAUUGCAAAGAAACUAGCGAUUGUCGGACUUUGGUGCAUUCAGUGGCACUCCGUGCAUCGACCGUCCAUGAAAUCUGUGGUUCAGAUGCUUCAAGGAGAGGGAGACAAAUUAAAAGUUCCCACCAAUCCUUUCAAUGCUUCAUCAUCAACUAAUAGAACUGUAAAUACUGUUGCCGGAUGUUUGAAUUCAGAACUAGAUGUUAUUCAGGAAUUAGACUAGAUUAUUGAAACUUGAAUGUUGUAAGAAGACACAAUCCCAAAAAUUAGAGUAAAGAAAUAAUGGCCAACUCAGUAUACAUACUGUUAAACUUGAAGUAGUGCUGAGUUGAAUGUGUUGAAAGUGUAAUGUCUCUCGAUCAAUAUAGUUUAGUUUUUUUUUUAUUAAAUAAAAAUAUUUUGCACCCAAUAGUUCAUUUGAUUGAAUUUUAAGUAUCACCUUUGUUUGAACCAUUAAAAAAAAAAGUAUCACCUUUAAUUUGUUGGUUUCCAUGAAUUAUUUUAGUCUAAAAACUGAAAAAAGAGAAAUUAUUAUUAAUAACGGUGACAUAAUUAAUAUGCCACUUUUGUUUUUGCAAGUUUGGAUAUUUAUGAAGGUAGGUGUUGGUGUGAUGGAUAGAAGGACCACUUACGUGUGCCAAUUACAACCAUUAUUGUAUAAAAAAGGGGUAAGAUUGUGAUGAGUUUGUCUUUGUAUGGGAGAGCAUGAUGUUGAUCCAAUGUCAUUUAUCAUUCUAUUAAAUAUCGGUUCCAUUUUGUUAAUAGAAAAAUAUAGUUUUCUCUUGUCGAAGUUGCCUCUCUAUAUAUAUUAGUACCAGUCUUGAUUCAAUUUAUUAUUUGUUACUGCUUUUCAAGAUACAAACAAAGAAAAAUACUUUUACUUUGGAUUGGUGUAUUUUCCACCAUAAAAUUUUACCAUUUUCCAUUUUAUUGUUUGUUUCUUCUCUUCUGCAAAUGUAAACUAUUCUUGGAUAUUCAGCUAGGUAUGUAUCCAUGUCACUUCUUAGUUGUCUCUGUAUAAAAUCUUGUCUAUUUUCUAAUUUUUAAAAUUUUCUUUCUUUAAUUGCAGAAUUAUCCUUUACAUUGACAAUUAGUUUUAAGGGAAUUACAACAGUCACUACUAGAAAAAGCAAAAUUAGCGAGGGAAAUUAGUGACGGAAAAAAUGAAAUUUCUCACAAAUUCCUUGAUCGUAAAAUUUAGCGACGGAAUUAGAGAGGAAUUUUACGUUUUCCCUCACUAAUUUUUGUUUUUUUAGUAGUGAGUCAAAGAUGAAGUCACUCCUCUGUAAAUAAUAAUAUGUUCUUUAUUCCGAAACAAUUGACCUCAUUGGAGUUGAUCCAAAUGGUGUACCUAUAAUUGGUACUGCAGCAAACUUUUUUUUAGAAACUAAAAUAUUAUACUAAAUAGAAAGCAAAACCUAUUCUGAGUACAAGAUAAUAGCUCUCAUGAAGAGUCAAAGUAAAAUAAUAAACAAAAACUGCCAAAGAAAAGCAUCAAAUGGCUAAAAGGCCAACACAACUAAGCGGAUAGAGCCACCAAAGAUUCAAGUCAUAGUGAAUCUUAUAAAGGAUAAAAAGAUUUAUGUCCACAAUUAGAAAUGAGUAGUCAAGUGACAACAAAUAAGAUAUAUUUCCUAAAUAGGAAAAACAAAUAAGAUAUAUAGUUUAAAAGGAUCAAAAUAUUUCACUAAAAAUGUGAAAUUUAAAUGCUGAAUAAAAAUAAGAGACCAAUCGCUAGUAAUCAUUAUCAUAAGUAGUUUAGUACUAUAGUAAAGGAUGCUCCAUAGUUUCCUCAAGAAAACUAAUUGAGCCGGUGACAUCAUCAUCUGAUAAUGAUUCAUUAGAGCUAACUCCAUUAUCUUGAAUAAUUUCAGUUGGAUAUGGAGAAGGUUUUGGAGGAAUUUUAAUGUCUUUAAUAUCUACUUCAAGCAUUUCUAUUACUUUGUCCAUUGAAGGACGGUCAUUGGGCUUCAAUUGUAUACACCACAAAGCAACUAUGAACAUUUUCUUCACAUUUUUUUUUUCCUCAUCCGUAACUUCUCCCAAUAUUUCUAUCUCCCUUUCUUCAACCAAUUCAUUGUAAAUCCAAUAGGGAAAGAAAAUUUGGCUUGAAUCAUCUGCAUUUGAGUUUAAAUUUCUUCUCCUGUUUGCUAUUUCCAUUAAGAGCAUUCCAAAGCUAUACACAUCGGCUUUAUAGGAAACUUUACCAAUAUUUUUGUAGAACAAUUCUGGUGCCAUGUAACCAAUUGUACCUCUAGCAGCGGUCAUAGUUACAAUGCUAUUUUCAAUAGGAUAAAGUUUUGCAAGACCAAAAUCUGAAACCUUUGCAAUGAAGUCCUGGUCAAGAAGUAUGUUAUGAGGCUUGAUAUCAAAAUGUAAAAUUUGCAUGUCACAACCUUGAUGCAAAUAAGCAAUUCCACGUGCAACGGCAAGAGAUAUCUCAUAUAUUUGUUUAUAAGUUAAGGAAAUAUGAUCUUCUCUAGAUGAUAUAUAUUUAUCAAGAGAGCCAUUGGGCAUGAAAUCAUAAACAAGAGCUCUUUUUGAUCCCUCAACACAAAAUCCAAUAAGUCGCACCACAUUGGUGUGAUGUAUUCUUCCUAUUGUUGCAACUUCAUUGAUGAAAUCUUGCCCAUUUCCCUUACCCUUGUGUUUACCCAACAUCUUUAUGGCUACCGAUGGCCCACUGCGUAGCUUUCCCUUAUAAACCUUACCAUAGCCUCCUUCACCCAACUUGUCCUUAAAACCAUUAGUCAUUUUCUUUAUCUCUGUGUAUGAAUACCUAAUUGGCAUGAGGGAGUUCCCUUGAAGAAAAUCUUCGAUGUUUUCAUACAUUGAUGUAUGCCUUAUUCGAUAUUUAUGUAUCAAUUUUGCAAAGAAAACUACAAGACCCAACAUAAGUCUCACUAAAAUGUACGGGGCCAAAACAUAUUUUCCAAUGGUUGUUCCUAUGUCAAUACCAAGUUUAGAUUGAGAAAUACCCCUUGAUCCAUUGUAUAUCGUCGCACCAAAUGCUUGCAUGAAUCCUGCAAUAUUUCAUAUACAAAUGCAAUAAUACUAUAAACAUUUAACAAUACAAUUAUAUAAGUAAUGUUCAAAUAACAUUGUGAAUUUGAAAAUGUAGGUAUAUCUAUUAGAGUAAAAAAUUACCUCUGGCAAUGCCAUACAUAAUACCUGCGAGAAAUUUUAAGUGAGUCAAUUAACAAAUGAAAUAGAUUGCUUAGAAGAAUAAAAACUUACACACAAAUGUAACUAGAUAGUAACAUUACUUAGUUUAGGUGUUAAAGCUUUUUCUAAUGACAAAUUAAAUUCAUAGAAAGAGAGUAUUGUAUAUGUUGUCUAACUCAACACAACAGGAAAGAAAAGGAACCAACUCCGGAAGCCAAUAAAACCACACAACAAUGCAAUCUUAAAAAAUAUUACAACCAAUAGAAGAGAAAAAAAGGAAACAAGUGAAGCCUAAUAAAAAUAGAAAGAUACAAACAUAGUCUUAUUAGAGAAAAUUGCAAAGUUCUGUGACUUCCAAAUCAAGUAGAAAAUUAAGAUUAAGCAGAACAAUUUCGUUGGUAUAGCCAAAUCCCACCAUAGCCACCUAAAAAUUCUAUAAUAAAAUCUGAGGAAUAAAUUGCAAAUACGAAAUAAAUGUCACGAUGACUCAUUAGUACAACCGCAAAAGACACAUGUAGGUCUACUGACUUGUUGGAAAAUCCUGCAAUGAAGAAGGUAUUUUCUUAGUAACUUUCAAAUUACCUUAGAGAAACUGUGUUUUAAGUUGAGAAAUAAGUUCUCAAACCUUGACAGGUAUCUUCAUCAAAGAAAAGUAAAUGUUUUGAGAUAUUUAUUUUGCAUGAAUUUGAGAAAAACCAUUUUGUGUCCAAAGCUAUUUUGUAUUCCACCAAGACCCAAGUCAAUUGGUGAGAAGUUUGAGUAACAGUUCUUACAUGUUCACCCUGCAAGGAUUUUCCCCAACAAGGAUACCUAAAUACUUGAAAAUAACUUAAUGAACUUUACAUUUAAUAUAUAUGUUUUACCAUCCUUAGAAAUGACCAAUUACAUUCAAGUUUAUCAAACCACUCUUUAAGAAGUUAACCCAAAGGCUCGAGGCAAGUUCAAAAUACGAGACAAUUGUCUUCAUUGUCAAGAUAUUCUCGACAAUCACUUAACCUGUAAAAAGAUGUUCAUCAGUAUACCAAAGAUGAGAAACAAGUAGUCUUGAAUUUCCCACGGAGUUACCUAUAAACCUAUUUAGAGAAUCUUCCAAACAAACCAACUAACCUAACCCACCAACGACCAGUAAAAAGAAGAAAGAAAAAUACGGGCCAGCUUGUUUAAGUUCCCUUUGGAGUAAAUGUUCACUUGGAUCUAAUAUCUCCAUUUGUUUUCAAGCCAAGCCUCCCAAACACAUAGUAAAAAAUUCUCCGGUCAUACACUUAUUUGAAGCCCACCUUAAAAAAUAAAGCAUUCUUUAAUAUAAUUUUUAGCUAGCUCUAUGAAUUCAUUCACUACUAGCACCCCACAAAUUAAUUUCCUACCUUUGGUAAAUGCAUACUAACGAGAGGAGAUUAGAUGAUUGAUAAUUACAGUCAACCUUCCUGUCAAAACCUUAACCACUAAUUUGUACAAACACCAAAUAAGAGCGUUGGUACAAAUAAACAAGUUACUAUUAUUAUAGACUAUCAGACAAUUCACUAUUAUUGAUGAUAAAGUAAGUUGUACAAAUAAACAUUCACAGUAUUGAUGGAGGUCCUUAAAAGAAAGAUAAAGAACAAAACAAGUUAAAAGGAAAAAAUUCUACUUACCUUCGACAAACAUUCGCAGCUUUGACGGAGAUCCUAAAGUUAAAAUAAAGUAAGUUAGCGAACUUAGCACUCAAAGUUGGAGGAUAUAUAUAAAAGACAAAAUUACUCCAAAGGUCCUUUAUCUUAAAUUUGAGGAUUUAGGAUUUUUAUUUUGAAUAUGAGUUCUUAAACUUGUUCGAAACCAAUAACAUACCACAAAGAUAAUAGGUUUUUUUAUUUAUUUUUAUUUGAAAACCCAUGAUGAAGAUGAAGGUCAUAAUAAUUGCAGUUUGUUUGUUUUUGACAUAUGAAGAUGAUGAAUUGCUUGAUGUUUUUUGAGUUUUUUCAUUUUUAAUAAAAAGUUGUUUUAAAUAAUACAAUUACAAUUAUUGAUGAUAAUCCUAUGUGGUUUGUCAUGUCAGCAUUUUUUUAAUAAAAAAUGAAAAAUAGAAUAUUUUAUGUACAUUUUAAAAGAUAAAAGACUUAAAUGAGAAAAUCAAAAGAUAAAGGACCUAACUGUUACAAAUAAAUAAGAUAAAAGACUUUUGGUGUAAUUUUGUCUAUAAAAAAAAAACAACUGUUUGUGCCGCUUUUUAUCUUACAAAUGUAUUGACACUUGUAAAAGUAGGCUAAAAAAUUUUUGGAUCUAGAAAAUGCUAAUAAAAAAGUAAAAAAAAAUGUAAAGUUGUUCUUACCACAAUCAACAUGAAAUCCCAUUGUGGUUAUACAGUAAUCACCAUGAUCGCUGCAUCUAAGACUCCAAGUGGUUUCCCUCAAAUAGCAAGGUGGUUCUCUACAAAGAUCUUCACAAGGACCACUCAUCCAUGCAACCUCAAAUCCACCCAACAACAUCGUAUGAAUUUCAUUAUACGAAAACUUCUGAUAGAAAAUGUCCCGUUUAUACGAACUAUAAUCAUAACCGAGAAAAGAUAUCGCGGUAACAGCCGCCACAUGGCAAUCAUGUUUUAUGUUUUCAACCUUCAAAUCUCCAGCAAUGGUAUAAACAUGGCCACCUUGGGAAUUGGACUUGAUGCAAGAAUCUGCAUCCACGUACGCUGGAUCAUCCAGUAUAGGAUUGCUGCAAUUCAUGUAAACUACGUGCUGGAAUAGUCGUAAUGUUCCAGAAGGUAUUCUGUACUGGAAAUUUUGAUAUGGAUCCUCGUAGUAAGUAUAAUUGUAAGAACUUGUGAAAUUUGAUGAGGUUAGGAAAUUCCGGGGAAUUGAAGAGCAAUCACCUUCUUUUAUUCCAGGAUCAACUAACCGAAUUGUGUAGUUAUUGUAGUUGAUUGAUUUUACAUGGUAUUUACCAGAAAGCAGCUUUAACAUUGUGAUGUUUUUUUCGCAGGAUAACUCGUACCUCGGAUCACCGCAGGUUGCUGGAUCAUUCUUAAGUCGGAAGGGAUACUUUAUGUUGCUGAUUUUGCCACAUGAAGAAGGGGGACAAGUUUUAUUAAUAUUACUAUUUGUUGCAUCACAUGUUUGAUGAUGAUGCAGUAGCAUAGCAACAACCAUAAUUUGGAGGAAACAUAAGAAUGAGUUUGCUCUGCACAUGAUUGAUUGAUGCUGGAAAUUGGCUUUCAAUCAUAUGAAAUGGGACAUCUAUGAUGUAUCUAAGGACAAGAUUGUCUUUAACAGUGUUUAAGUCUUUUAGCCAUCGUUCUUGACUUUCAUUGUUACAAGCAUAUAAAAAUGUUACUUUGUUGACCGGAAAUCUAUACUUGGUUGAUUUUUUCUACUUCCAAUUAUAUAGAAGAAUCUUUUGCCAAAAUGACGGAAAUUAGGAAAGCUGAUAUUUGUAUUAAAGUUGUUUGUAAUCACUAUUGUUUUUACAUUUUUAUUCUUUAAGAGCUUAAAGAAAGUUAGUUGCAAAAGGAUCUUAGAAAAAGGGAUAAAAAAGAUCUUAUAAUUAAGGACAGAGGUAUAAUAUUAUAUUUGUUAUAUUCUUGUUAUAUUUGGUAUAUUGUUCUGAUAAUUAAACGAUAUUAAAAUUAAAUAUGCAAGUGAUAAAAAGAUAAUAAAAUUCCUUUAAAAAUAGAUAAUAAAAUUAAAUUGAUCCUCCUUUAAAAAAAAUUAUAUGGGCCGGUUCAAAAAAAAAAUUAAAUGGAAGAAAAAAACAAAUUGAAAUAUUAUAUUAAAAAAUAAAAGAUAAAUGUGCCUGAGUGAGUUGAAGAAAAGUGCUUCUGAAAUAAAUUACAAAGAAAUAGUUUUUUGAAGUAGCAUUCAACAACUUUUGGUUAAAGCUCAUUCCAUUCAAUUUUAUGCAUUCUAAAAAAAGUAUUUUUUUUCGAAGGUACUUUAUUGAUAUUGUGUUUGACCUAGCUUCUCCUUAAAAAUGUAGAGAAUCUGAGAAAAAGCCGGGCUAAACGGUACCUAAGUAAGUGUCGCUAACACUCCUUCAAAAAUAUUAAGUACUGACAAAAUUGUCGUUGUUUAGUUGUUGGAAAAUUUGAAAAGUCCUGCAUUUUUUUUCAACUUUUUAUAUAUACAUAUACAAUAAAGGGAAAGAGUGGUUCAAUAUAAUAUCUUUAGUCUCCUUAUUUUUUUUCCUUGGAUGACGUUGCAAUGUACAUAUGAUUCUUGGACUUUGAACGUUUUAAUCUAUAUUUUCUUGCAGCAUUAUUUUCAACUUUAAAUGCAUAUGCUUUUCCUUUUAGAGAGCUGGCAAUGCCAUAUAUGAAAUUAUACAAGUUUGAAUAUAAUUAUGAUUCCCUUCAACAUGUCACUCACAAUGAUCUUCACAAGGACCACUCAUCCAAGAAACUUCAAAUCCCCCACACUUGUAUAUGAAAUUAUACAAGUUUGAAUAUAAUUAUGAUUCCUUUCUUGCAACAAUAUUAUAUUAAAACAGAUAAUUAUUGACUCAUCAAACUCCCCCACACUUGAAUCUUUACUUGUCCUCAAGGAAAAGACAUAGACAUAGCAGCAAUAAAAAGAUUAAUAUAUGACAAUUCAAAUAAAAACUUAUGUCUCCUCUAAGGCUUCAUUUCAAUGUACACUAAUCACAACUUCAAGUAUUCCUUGUGAACCUAUUCAACCCAACAACAAGUCUCAAGUGAGCGUGUGUGUAGUCCAACCAUUUUCUUUCUCCUGUAUAAGACAGAUAUUAUGAGGAACAUGUUCUAACCUUAACACUAAAGUUACCGAGAAAAUUCCUUUCUUCAUUUCAUAUAAGAGAGAUGAGAAUUAGUUAAAUUUAGUUUGACAAUUUAAAUACUUGGGGGCUUGCAGAUUGCUUAGGGGAUAUCAUUUCUCAAAGGAAGUCAGCGAGGGGGUAUCCUUUCCUCCAAGAUUCCAUGAUCACCCUAAGUAGUGCUACAAAUUAAUCAUCUUCACGAAGGAAGUCAGCGAGGGGGCCGAUAUCCUUUCCUCCAUGUGUUGAUGAUGUAUCAAUUAUUUCUUUUUAGAGGGAUUUAUGGAAAUUUCGUUCAAUUUAUUAGAGAAGCAUCACCACACGGAGGAAGUCAGCGAUGGGGUAUUCUUUCCUCUAUGUGUUGGUGAUAUUGCUUCCGCCCCAUUUUGGUUUAACACAUUAUAGCACAUUAAAACCCAAUAUUCCCCCACAAACUUAUACUACUUUUAUUCUGAAGACUUUUAAGGGUCUAAGUUACCAUUAAAGUUAGAACGUGUUCCUUAAAAUACCUAUUCAUACACUUGCUCAAGGAUUGCAACUAAGUGCUUUUCUCAUUGGAGAAUUUUCACAAUAAAACAUGAUGUGGGUAUAACAAGAACACUUAAAACACAAGAAAUCACUUUCAUGUACAAGAAACGACCAUUUUAGAAGAGACAACAAAAAAUUUAUGUCAUAAUUUUCAAUAAAAACAAGCUGCUUAAUCAUGUCUUUCGCAAUAAAACAAAACAAAAGAAUAAAGUUCGAGGGAGUUUGGAAACUACGACUAAAGACACUUUAUUAGGCUCCCCCCACACUUAGGAGAAGCAUUGUUCUCAAUGAUUCAAAACAAUAAAAGAGAAGAAGAGGAAGAAGAAGAAGAAAGAGGAGGAGAAAGAGGAGAUAAGGGGAAGAGAGGAAGAGGAAAGCUCACAUUUGAUUCAUUGAGGUCCAUAAGGAGGAUCUUGGAGGUGGAAGUGUUGCAUCAUGUUAUGAAGCAUUUGAUUAUUUUCUAUUGAUAUGCGGUUGCCUCUUAGGACAUCAUUUCGUAGUCCGGAUAACUCAACACCUUGCCUUUGUUGUUCGGUGCUUAUUCUCUCAACCUCUUCAUGUACUUGCGAACCAUCACCAACAUACAACAAAUUUUCUUCAACCUCGGUGUUAGUCCGAGAUGGGUUAGGAAGUAUAAUUAAAACAGGCACAUUGAGUUUAAAUGUAUAUGCCAUGUGGGGACGAGGUUUAAUGAAGUUCAUAGAGAUGAGGGUCUCUAUGUUAAGCUUAUUGUUUCCCUCAAUCUUGUUUUAUCCCUUGGUCUUCAUCCACUCCCAAUUGCCUAUAGCUAUGUAUGUGAUGAUACCACCUAUCACUAUCUCUCCCUUACCAUCAGAACUAUUACCUACAUGGGAAAGGUAAUCAAGCAAGUAAAAGCAAGUGUUAACGGGGUGGUUGUUAAGCAUAGCCCACAACAUAAAGAGUUCAUCUGUCCUAGUGUUCCCCAAUUCAGUCCUUCCCCAAAUGUUGCAAGCCAUAAACCUUUGAAGGUACCUAAGCACAAAGUUGUGAAUGUUACUAGCUUUGUUGGAACAUGUGUUAAAUUGCCUAAGACUGGUGAUACGUUCCCAAAAGGCGGCGGGUUGAUAGUCAACCAGAUUUAGACUUUGAUCCCAAUAGUCAUGGAUGAACCCCGCAUUUGCUAAGUUCAUCUCAUCACAAAAGUGUUGAAGAGACAUCUCGUAAUCAAUGUUCAUAAGCCGGAAAGAUACUCUAUGAUUGGGGUUAUCAAAAUUCAUCCUAUCCUUUGUAAAAACAAUAGAACUUAAAAACUCAUAGGUUAAAUUUUCAUACCCUCUCAUAGGUCUUAACAUAGCAACCCACCCUAAUCUUCCUAGCAAGUCAAACACUUUGUCUCUAAGGCCUAUCACAUUCAAGCUAUAAGAAUCAAGGUAUCUACAAGCAUGUAAAGAUUUAGAGAUGAGAACUUUAUACCUAUCCCUUUACUUGCUGUCUUUGAAUUAUAUUACAUGAUUCUUUGCUGGCACUUGCUUCUUUGGAGAGGUCCUCACGACGAGCUUGCAACUUCUUUACCACCUCUUUUGGAAGCCAUAACCUUCACCCUGAUUGGAUUUGGUGUGGUUUUGGUGAAGGUUGGGUUUUUGGAAUGUUUUUGGCGGAAAAGGUUGGUUUAGUUGUGGGGUUAAGGUUUAAGUAAGUGUUAUGAGUUGGGUUGUGGAAAUUAGUGAUGAAUUUGUGGGUUUUGGGUUAGGUUAAGGAAGGCUACAAAUUUGGAUGAUUUUCGGUUUGGGUGGAUGAAAGUUGUUUUUGAUUGGGGGGGUUAUGAUUGGGAUGAUGUUUGUAAUUGAUUGGGUGAAGAAAUUUUAUGAAUUUGUGAAGUUUUGAAGGAGAUAUGAAGGUUUGGAGUUUUGUGGUUAUGGAGGUUUUAGAAAGAAGUUUGAAGGUAGAGAGAUGUUGGUGUUGGAGAAUGAGGGAAGAAGAAGAAAAAAAAUGUGUAUAUGCCUACCUAGGGUUGGGCACGGCUGUGCCAGCUGUUGGCACGGGCCGUGCCAAGCUUCUGGAAUUUUGGAGGUUUUGGUUUGGCAAGGUCUGGCAUGGCCGUGCCAGUGGGAGCACGGGCCGUGCCAAGGUUCUGGAGUUCGGGGCUUCAAAAUUUUUCAUUUUCUUGAAUCAUGCUUGGACAAUUACCUACAAAAUAACUUAAAACAACAAAAAACAAACAAAACAAAAGCAGUUAAAUACGUGGUUUGCCUCCCACGAAGCGCUCCUUUAUAGUCAUUAGCUUGAUGUUAAGAAAGUGUCCUUAGAAAGGAUCAAAGAUAUCAUAUUGUGUAGAUGACGCUAAAAAGUGUUCUUUCACAUCAUGAUCUUUAAUCAUGCAACAAGAAUAAAGAGCGGGACCUUUCAUAACAUUCUCCAACUCAAAUCCUACCAUUUUAUCACUCACUUGAAAACACAAUCCUACCAUUCUUAACAUCAACUAUAGCACCCGUAGUAGCGAGAAAAUGUCGUCCUAAAAUUAUAGGGCACUCAUUGUCUUCUUCUAUGUCAAGUACCAUAAAAUCAGUCGGGAUGUAUAUCCCUUCUAUCAUAACGGGAAUGUCCUGGACAUAUCCGACAGGUUGGAUAGUAGAACGGUCAGCUAACUUCAAUGUUGUUUCGGUAGGUUUCAACUCUCUUAUUCCCAUCCUUUUAAAGAGGGAUAAGGGCAACAAACUAACACUAGCACCUAAGUCGCACAAGGCUUUGUCUAAGGUCUCACUCCCUAUCAUACAAGGGAUGACAAAACUACCUGGAUCUCUAAGCUUUGAAGGUGGCUUCUUGAUGAUUGCACUACUUUCCCUUGUCAAAGGUAUUGUCUCUUUGUGCUCUAUAGCCUUUUUCUUUGAAAAAAUUUCUCUUAAAAACUUGGCAUAUAGAGGCAUACGAGACAAAGCUUCAGCAAAGAGAAUCUUUAUGCAAAUCUUCUUAAGUAUGUUCACAAAUUUAUUGAAUUGAGCCUCCAAGUUAAUCUUAACAAGCCUUAAUGGGGAAGGGGCUUUGUUCUUACCAAGUGGUUUCUCACUUUCUAUCACAUCUUUCUCACCUGAAAACUUAACACUCUCUCCCUUGGUACUUUUAACUUUAGCAAUGGUCUCUUCUAAUUUACUACCCCCAAAAGAAAUAACAUUGACAUGAGCCUUUGGAUUGGCUUCGGUUUGACCAGGAAAGACUUCCGAUGUUUGAGAAGAGGUGGCCACUUGUUGGGCCACUUGGGAGAUUUGGGUCUCAAGCAUUUUAGUGUGUGCGGCGUUCAGAAAUCCCGUUUGGUUUUUUAGUUCUUGAAUUGUUUAUUUUGAUUCAUCAUGCAAUUUUCCAACAAAAUUUCCAAACUUGAUUUCUGAGCUACCCUCUAGUUGUUUGUAUAGCCAGGUGGUGCUACUUGUCCAUAGGAACCUUGAGGAUUUUUAUAAAAGUUUUGGCUAGGCUUUGUUCCUUGGUUGUAUUAAGCAUAAUUCAUUUGCUCAAUACUAUUAGCAGCACUACGUAACUGACAAUCAACACCUAUAUAACCAAAUAUACCACAAAUUUCACAAGGAGGAAAUGUAGGAGUAGGUGUGACAACACUAACAUUAAGUUUUUCAAAUUUUUGGGUUAAUGCAUCAACCUUGGCAGCAAGGUGGUCAUAGUCAGAGACUUCGUACAUACCUGCCUCCUUUUUAGAGGGUGUAGAGGCGGUGAUGGCUCUUUCGUUGGUCCAUUGGUAGUGAUUCUGAGCCAUGUCUUCAAUCAAAGCGUAAGCCUCCGUAUAGUUCUUGUUCAUCAAGACUCCACCUACAGCUGAAUCAACAUACAUCUUAGUGGUAUAUGUUAGGCCAUUAUAAAAAGUGUGGACUAUGAGCCACUUCUCUAAACCAUGGUGGGGACAAAGUCUAAGCAUUUCCUUGAAACACUCCCACACAUCAUAUAGAGACUCUCCAUCUUUCUAAUUGAACCGCGUGAUUUGCUCUCUUAGUUAUCGGUUUUAGAUGGGGGAAAGAAUCGGGCAAGGAAUGCUCGCCUCAUUUGAUCCCAUGAAGUGAUGGAACCAAGCGCUAGCUCUAUCCCUUAAGAAAAAGGGAAAGAGAUUAAGUCUUACGGCUUCUUGGUUCUCUUUUAUAGUGCCACUGAAUCUUAAGAAGGAAGAAAUAUGGAGAUUUGGAUCCUCAGUAGGUGAUCCAGAAAACUGAUUUUGCUGCACCAAAUUGAGUAGUGCAGGCUUGAUCUCAAAGUUGUUACCCUCAACCGUCGGGUACACAAUAAUAGCUUGUGCCUCUGUUCUUUUCUUAUGCAAAUAUCUUUCGAUCUCAAGAAUAAAUUCUCCAAGACUUUUACUUCUUCGCAUAAGAAAUUGAGAACCCAAGAAGUUAACGGUAAAACAAAAGAAAGAAAGUAGAGGAAAAGGGAAAAGAAAAGAUUCUAAUCACAAAGAAAAGGUUAAUUAAAUUAGUUAACUCCCCGGCAGCGGCGCCAAAAACUUGAUGGUAUAAAACCGCAAGUGUACGGUUCUAUCAAAGUAGUAAAAUAAGAGUAUCGUUCCGAUAGGAAGUUGUUAAAUUCAAUUAACUUUUGUUGAUGAUUAGAAGAGAAUAAAGUUGCAAAGUUGGGGUUUUCAAAAGGGUUCAAAGAUAAUAAUAUAAAAAGAGCCUUGUGAUUAUUGGUUCACCUUAAUGACAAGUCCUUCUCAAACCAAACUAUUAAACCUAAAACCUUAUGUUAGACCUAACUUCUAAAGACAGUUUCUCUUUUGGUCCUUUAGCAACCAAAUUUCGCUGACUUGAUUACUAUUAAAUUUUGGUUCCUUUAAUAACCAAGCCUAUUUUGCUGACUUGAUUACUAUUAGUUCCCUUGAAGAUCGAAACUAUAUGUCUCAAAGAUCGCAAAGACUAUUUCGCUGCCUUUGCAACCCUUGUCUAAAUUCACUUGUUCGAAUAUCAAAUCUCCACUUUCAUUUUAUGAAUUGAUAUUUGAGAUGAUGGAUUAACAAUUAUCAAACCUUCCAUUUUCUUUUCCACAGUUUGAUAAUGGUUAAUUCAUGUUAAAACAGUGAAUUUAGAUUAGAGAUUAGAGUUACAUAAGACUAGGGUCAAUAGCUUGGUUUGAUUAUGAUUAUGUCAUUAAGACUUAUCCAACAAUCCCAAGACAAGAGAAGUUUACUCACUCAUGUUCAUCGUAGACAUGGAGAAGAAGGAGAAAAGCAUAAAAGUAAAUAACAAGAAAGUAAAGGAAAAGAAAAUAACUUUUAUUAGAAAGAUAAUUGUCACUUAUUGAAUUCCAAGAAAAGAUGAAUAUUUGUGAUGGCUAGCUACUCUAUUUAUAGAAUCUAAGCAAUUACAUUACUACAAGCAACAGGCUUUUUGGUAAAACUAAAAUAGAGUAGCUUAAAAUCUAAGCAAAAGCAGCAAAAGGUGUUCUGGGAGGUGGCACGACCGUGCCAAUCUUAGCACGUGCCGUGCCAAGCUUCUGACUUGGGGGAGACAUAAUUUUGUCUCCGAAUCUUCGUAUUGUUGCUCCGAAUCAGCUCUAAACCCCUUUCUUUUGCUCCAAGACUCAAUCCAUCAAAUAUUCGUUCCUAAAAUAUAAUAAUAUGCAAUUGAAGUAAAAUAGUUCAAAAAUGAAAUAAUAUUAAAAUAAAAUAAACUUAAAUCUAAUUAAAACAAAACUAAAUAUUAUACUAAAAUGAAUAAUUAUUGACUUAUCGGUACUUGUGGAUUACCCUAAAAGCCAAGGGUGAUUGGGCACAAGUAGAUCUUCAAGGAAGCGGGAGAUGUUCUGUAUUGAAGAGGUUAUGGUAUAGUCUUGUAGAACUACGUGAAAUUCCUAUUGUAGUUUGGAUACAAGGAUUUUUGAGAAGGUGGAAGACAUUUCGAUGACUGAAGAGGUUAAGGUGUGUACUUGUGGAGCUACCUAAAUUUCCUAGUGUAGUUGGAAGCAAGAAUCUUCAAAAGGCGGAAGGCAUUCCAAUGGUUGAAGACGUAAGGUGUAAACUUGUGGAGCUACUUGGUGUAGUGGGAAGCAAGGGAAAGAGCAGCAAGGUGGUUGAUGUUAAAUUGACUUCAUCACUAAUUAAGAGUCAAGGUGGAAAUUGUUGUGAAAGUGACUCAAAAUUGGAGUUUGGAGUGCCAAAUUGAUGUUUUGCGUAACAAUAUUACUCGAAUAUAGUCCAGUCUCUGACUUUAUAGAAAGACUUGUUGCAAAAGGAUUCCAUCAAACACACUUUGACUUUAUAGAAACUGUUUACUCCUGUGGUCAAACUGAUCACAAUUCACACCAUUCUCUUUCUUUAGCCCUAACUCAUAGUUAACAAGGCAUCUAAACAGACCUUAGUUGGAUCUAUGUGGAAGGAUUAAUAUUCGCAUACCACGAAGCUUUGUUCUCGACAUACAUCAAAUAUUGACGGGAUGUAGAUUCAAACACUCGAUAAGUAAACAAUUUUAGUCUAUAAAAACAUUCUUUGUUGAAUGACCAUUUUUUAGACUAAAAUUGUUUACUUAGUCCAUUUAAAACGACUUGAUAACUAUGAUUUGUAGCGUUGUAAAAAAACUAUGAUUGGUAGUAUAAAUAAAUUUCUUGAUUGCAUAAAAUUUUAUUUUAUUACUAUAUGGAGAAUUGCCUAUAAACACUAAGAGCGAAGAAAUUGAUCUCAGUGAUUGAUUUAGAAAAUGAUUUAAAAUAGUACUUAAACAUUAGUUGAAAACAUCAAACGACUAAUUUUCAUCUCCAAUGUCUGAUUUUGGCGUCAAUUUGAAAAUAAUAAUACGUUCUUUAAAUCAAGCUAUGUAGAAAAAUAUUUUGUAAUAAUUUACCUCAUUGUAGUUGAUCCAAAUGGUGUACCUAUAAUUGGUACUGCAGAAAACUUUUUUUUAGAAGCUAAACUAUUAUACUUCUUCAUUGUGCUUUAGUACCUUAAAAGCAAUCUUCCGGACUUUUGUUAUAUGUGUCCCGAGAUUGCUAUGUGUCCAAAGAGAUAUCAUCACGAAAUUAUCACGAAUUAGUUACCGAACACUCUCUUACAUAAUUCUGUCACUAAAGGAAACAUUGUUAGCUUCAUGGGUUGCAUUGCUAGCAUAAAGGAAACAUUCUUACAGACGGAUACUUUGGUGUAGUCGCAAUUACAUAAAACAAACAUUCCUAUUUGGACCUAGUACAAAUGGUGUACAUAUGAUUGCUACUGCAACUACCUUUCUGCUUAUUGUUUAGUAUCACUUGGAAAAAAAUGGUUUGUGUUCACUAUUGGAAGUGACAACAAAUUAAGAAAUAACACAUAUAUGCAAUUUUUUAUGUUUAAUGUAAAAUUUAGAUGAUUAAUGAAAAUAAAAAACCAAAUCACAAGUAUUUAUUAUCAUUGUAGUUUAGUACUAUAGUAAAGGAUCUUCAACGGUUUCCUCAAGAAAACUAAUUGAACCGGUGACAUCAUCAUCCGAAAAAGAUUCAUUUGAGCUAACUCCAUUGUCUUGAAUAAUUUCAGUUGGAUAUGGAGAAGGUUUUGGAGGAAUUUCAAUAUCUUCAAUAUCUCCUUCAAGCAUUUCUAUUACUCUGUCCAUUGAAGGACGAUCAAUAGGGUUCAAUUGUAUACACCACAGAGCAAUUAUGAACAUCUUCUUCACAUUUUUCUUUUCCUCAUCGGUAGCUUCUCCAGAUAUAUCUAUCUCUCUUUCUUCAAUCAAUUCAUUGUAAAUCCAAUAGGGAAAGAAAAUUUGGCUUGAAUCAUCUGCAUUUGAGUUCAAAUUUCUUCUCCUGUUUGCUAUUUCCAUUAAGAGCAUUCCAAAGCUAUACACAUCGGCCUUAUAGGAAACUUUACCAAUAUUUUUGUAGAAUAAUUCCGGAGCCAUGUAACCAAUUGUUCCUCUUGCAGCCGUCAAAGUUACAAUGCUAUUGUCAACAGGAUAAAGUUUUGCAAGACCAAAGUCUGAAACCUUGGCGAUGAAGUCUUUGUCAAGAAGAAUGUUAUGAGGCUUGAUAUCAAAAUGUAAAAUUUGCAUGUCACAACCUUGAUGCAAAUAAGCAAUUCCACGUGCAACUCCAAGAGAUAUCUCAUACAUUUGCUUAUAAGUUAAGGAAAUAUGAUCUUCCCUAGAGGAAAUAUAUCUAUCAAGAGAGCCAUUGGGCAUGAAAUCAUAAACAAGAGCACGUUUUGAUCCCUCAAUGCAAAAUCCAACAAGUCGCACCACAUUGGUGUGAUGUAUUUUUCCUAUGGUUGCAACUUCAUUAAUGAAAUCUUGUCCAUGUCUAUCUCCCUUAAGUUUACCCAACACUUUUAUGGCUACCAAAGGCCCACUACGAAGCUUCCCCUUAUAAACCUUACCAUAUCCUCCUUCACCCAACUUUUCCUUAAAGCCUCUCGUCAUCUGCUUUAUCUCUUUGUAUGAAUACCUAAUUGGCAUGAGUGAAUUCCCUUGAAGAAAAUCUUCGAUGAUUUCAUACAUUGAUGUAUGCCUUGAUCGAUACGUAUGCAUGAGUUUUCCAAAGAGAGCUAUGAGACCCAACAUAAAUCUAACCAUAAUGUAUGAUGGCAAAAUAUACCUUCCAAUUGUUAUUCCUAUGUCAAUACCAAAUUUAGAUUCAGACACAUACUGAGCUCUAUCGUGUAUUCUCACACCUAUUGGAUGUGGUAGUCCUGAAAUAUAUUAUGUAUAAUAUAUGAAUGCAAUAAUAUUAACAUUAUUAAACAAUAUAAUGAUAUAAUAUUCAAAUAACAAUGUGGAAAUGACUUAACCAAAAAAAAACAUUGUGAAUGUUAAAAAUUACCUCUGGCAAUUCCGUACAAAAUACCUGCGAGAAAUUUUAAUGAAGUCAAUUAACAAAUGAAAGAGAUGUCAGAAAUUGACACAGAAAGAGUAAGUAUAAUGAGACAAAACUACCAUAUAAUGAGACAAAACUGCCAAAUCAUAAAAAACCUAUAAUCACAAACAUAAGAAUGGUUUCACUACCCACUCUUAUAAGUAACAUGAAUAUGUCGACGACCUAAAAAAACCCUUUUCAAGAGUUGAAUCUUACCUGGUUUACCAAUUGCACAAUAAACGUUGUCUUAUCAGACAAAAUAACAUUGUUUCACGACUUUCAAAUGAUCACACCAUUGAAAGGGGUUUUCUCCCACAUAAUAUUUUCUUCCUCAUCAAUUACUCCCUCACCGCUUCCUCCAUCUCCGUCAUAGCCGCACCCACACCACCAAACCUAUCAAAACGUGCAACGCUGGCCCAUAUCCGUUGUUGACCAAAGUACACUUUGUUCAGUGCUUUAUUCAAUUUGUCAUAAUUUUGCACAUUAGUGAAGCACACAAAACCAAACACUUGUUCACUAGCAUUUCUAUCUCGGGACACAUAUACGUCUGCCAAAAUACCACAAACCUCCAAACUCUUCCUCAGCUCAACAUAUUAUAAAUGCUUUGGUACAUUAGUGAAAUAGAAUGUUACCAUCAAAGCUUCCUAUUGACGUGAACUUGAUCGAGUCUUCGACACUCCUUGUUAUCGAGAGGCAUGCCCAAGAUUAAGGCACCUAUCGAUUGAUCGACAACAUACCUCAAUUGACAUCACACACCUAUAUCCGUAAAACCUUCGAACAUGUGUUUAACCAUGUUCAAGUAACCCAACAAACCUAUUCCCAUAGCCACAAAACCCUAGAUUGUGAAACCUUCCAAACCCCAAACUUCCAUGCAGUGAAAAUCCCCUUGACCUUUCACGUCCUUGAUCUCCCGAUCGAAUCAUUUUCCAACGUCUCAUACUCAUCACAAACCAUUCUCUCCUAUUCCCAUAUUAUGUGUGGCUCUGACUAGAACCAUAGCCCUCCCUAGGUCUCUCUCUCUCAUUUGCGAUGUCACAUUUAUGGCGAUUAUUAUUAUUAACUAUCAAGAAUGAUACCUUAUUAAAUUUAAGUCAUAUGUUACUAGAAAUCUAGAAAAUCAAUUAAUUGUAUUAACUAGUUUUUUCUAUUGACAACAACAAAAUUAACCCAUUUAAUUCAAUUAAAUAGUCACAAUACAUGAAGGAAUAUAAUAAAAAAAAUUGGCGGUGACCUUAAGACAAUGCCACUCUAGGAAAGAGUGAUCCACAUUGUUCUGCUUGCGUAUGAACAAAACUUAUGCGAUAGUUUGGUAAAGAAGACAUCAUAGUUUUAUUUGGUUAUAACAAUGAUAUGAGGGUAAAGUGAUUCGACUCAAGCGAUUGUUGAAUUUCACCUAAAAGUGAUUCGUUUAAGAGAACCCCGAAUUUAAAUUAUGGUUGAAACAAUUAUAUAUAUAAGACUUUACUUACAUUCCGACCAAACUCAAAAUUCCCAAACUCUCUAAUCCGGGUCACUAGAGGGUAAACAUAAAAAAAAUAGUGACACAAGGGAGUAGUGUACACUACAAGAAAAGUGUGUAUACUUAAAAGAAGUUAGAGGACAAAUUUCUCCUUACCUUCAACAAACAUUCGCAGCUUGGAUGGAGUUCCUAAAAUUAAAAUAAAGAAGAAGUUAGCGACUUAACUCUUAAAGAUGUACACUAACUUGUACAUGAUACAAGACUUGUCUCAAUUUUGCACUAUAAAAUUAACAUACAUAUGUAUCCAACAAUCAGUUAUAGUUUCAUUUUAUCUCUUCUACUUUAUUUUUUCUUUUCAUCAUCAAUUAAUUAUCACAUCACUCUAUUUAACUUUUUCUUUUCAAAAUAUAUAUACUCAUAUGAUUUGUCCAUCAAACAUUUAUAUAUAUACACAACGAAAUGAACAGGUGCUUUUGCUGUUUUUUAUUUCUAAAAAAUGUAAAAUUUAAUUUUACAUUUUAAAUACUUGUUUUUUUUUUUUUUUGUGGAAAUACAAAAUUAUUAUCAUAAAUGUGAGAGAGUAAUGAUAUUUGUACAACCAGUUGAUGACAAAAUUUGUGUCAACAUUCUCUUUCUUUCUUAUUAUUGAUAAAAAACAAUAGAUAGAGAAAUACAAAUAGAGAAAGUAAAAAUAUAAUGUGAGUAUGAUAAAGUUGUUACAAAAUGGUUAUACAAAUAUCAUUUCUUACCAGUGACACAACCGACAUGAAAACCCAGCGUUGUUCUACAUAGCAUAGACGGAUUGUCGCAUUCAAGACUCCAAGUGGUUUCUCUCAAAUAGCAAUCUGGGAUUCCACAAUGAUCUUCACAAGGACCACUCAUCCAAGAAACUUCAAAUCCACCCACCAACAUGCUAUGAAUUUCACUGUAAUCAAACAUUUGAUUCGGAAUCCGUUCAUUUCUAUAAUCCGCGUCACUGUACGAAAACUUUCCAUCGGGAGUAUUCCACUCCUCAGAGCUGUAAUUAUAACGGAAAAAAGAUAUUGGCGUAACAACCCCCACGUGACAGUCAUCAUUUUUAUAGUUUCUAACCUUCAAAUCCCCGGCAAUGGCAUAAACAUGGCCACGUUGAGAAUUCGACUUGUUCACGCAAGAAGCUGCAUCUGCAUACACCGGAUCAUCCCUCACAGGACUGCUACAAUUCAUGUAAAUUACGUGCUGGAACAUUUGUAAUGAUGCCAAAGUAAGAGCUGGUGAAUAUUUAUAUCUAGUAGUAUCAACUAUUCUACUCUGGUAAGUUUGAUAUGGAUCAACAGAAUCGUAGAUAUAAGAGCUGCUGAAAUUAUAAUUGUACAAGUAAUAGUGAGGAAUGGUGGAGCAAUCACCCUCUUCAAUUCCGGGAUCAACUAACCGAAUUGUGUAGUUAUUGUAGUUGAUUGAUUUCACAUAGUAUUUACCCGACAACAAAGUUAAGGUUGUGAUGUUGUUUUCGCAGGAUAACUCGUACCUCGGAUCACCACAUGAUGUUGGGUCAUCCUUAAGUCGAAAAGGAUGUGAUAUGUUUCCAAUUUUGCCACAUGAAGAAGGUGGACAAUAUGUUUGGUUACUAGUAUUUGUAAUUGCAUCACAUGUUUGAUGAUGAUGAUGCAGUAGUAGCACUACUACCAUAAUUUGGAUUAAGAAUAAGAAUGAUUUUUCUCUGCACAUGAUUGAUGGUGAAGAGUGAAGGCUGGUUUUCACUUUAGAGCUACGGUAUUAUAAUCUGAAAGGGUACAUGUGUACAUGUGUAUCUAAGUCAAAAAUUGUCUUUCUCAAAUGUUAAAAGUCUUUUAGCCAUCGUUGUUGACUAUUAUGCUUUGGUCAAUCCAAAAAACUUUUCAACUUUUUAUAUCUAUAGUCAAUACUACUCCUUCCAUCCUCAAAUAAAUGACUUGAUUGUUGCACGUAUGUUACUACACAUAUUUGAUCUUUAAUAAAUUUUUAUUAGGUCAAUUUUGAACCAAAAUCAUCCCUCUUAAGGUCAAUUUUAACUCAAAAUCACCCAUUCGAUUUGUUUUCCUUCAUUUUUAGUUUAAUAAGUGAUUUUCACAUUCGUCAUCUUUGCACGAAUUUGCUUAUUUUAAUUUCUCGUCCUUGGGUGGUGUAUUUUUUAUUUUCCGCCUUAAUACGAUAUUUAUUUGGUUCAAAUUGAAAUAUUAGUUUGAGCAUUGACAUAUUCAAUCAAUGACUUUGACGUCGUCAACGUCGGAUAUCCGGACACUUGAAUAUAGUCAUAUUUAUAGACAUACGUACUCUGCCAUUUUAUGCUAUUGACAUGAAUAAUGUUAGUUUGUUCGCAAACUCAUCCUUUUUUUAUUUUCGGGAUUUUAAAUUUGCAUUGUAUUGUUUUACUCUAGCAAUUUGAAUGAAAAUCUGUGGAAAAAAUGUUAGCGAAAUAAAUAUAGUAGAAAGAUAGUUGAGUGUUCGUCUUUUUUUUUUUUUCCUGCUAGUAUAGAACAAAAAUGGUUCUAUUUUGAAUUUUCUUCGGUCUCCUUGUUUUUUUUCCUUUAGAUGACGUUGUGAUGUACAUUAUUUUCUUCAACCAAGAGCAUUAUUUUCAACUUUAAAUGCAUAUACUUUUCUUUUCAGUGAGCUGGCUAUGCCAUAUAUUAAAUUAUACAAGUUUGAAUAAUAAUUGUGAUUCCCUUCAACAUGUCACUCACAAUAUUAGCAUUGCUACUGCUGAUAUCAAUGAACCUUGUCAAUGGUCAGAACAAUGAUAACUCGUCCGAUGAAUGCCCCUUUCGUUUAUCUUGUUCGCAUAACAAGAAUCAAAUCAUUGAGUUUCCAGCAGAUCCAGUUCCAGUAAAGCUCCUCGUUACAGACAUAGAUUGUCAAUCUCAACAAUUAUACCUAUCUCACCCACAAAAUUGUCUUUCUAGUAUCUUUGUAACACACAAUUUUUCACUAUUUUAUCCUUUUAGCCUUGCUUCAUUAUUUAAUCGUCCUAGCAGCGUCAACAACGUUACUUUCUUUAAUUGCUCUUCAGUUGGACAACAUCUCAGAAGCUGGGAACAAACAAAACCCGGUGCCCAAGACAUGUUAUCUUGUCCAAUUUAUGUUGCUGAUUUAUCUGAAAGUGUCAUCGAAUUGGACUUAUUACGUUGCACCAGAAUGUUUGAUAAAGUUUUGCCAAUAGAUUUAAGUUUUAGAAAUAACUAUCUCAAAUUGAAUUGGUCAGAACAAACUUUUCAUAGUCAAUGUUUACAACCACAGAUUAAAUCAAAGCACACAUCCAUUAUUGCUGCAACAACAGGUGAAUAGAAUAGAUUAUAUGUAACUUCAAUUCUAUUUCUUUCCAUUAUUAUUUCGAAUUUUUCUUUAAUUGAAUUUUGAAUCUGCAGGGGCAAUUGUUGGUUCAACUAUUCUGGUUGUUUUGUUUGGUGUUUUCUUUCGAGUAUACCUCUAUUAUAGGAUGAAAGGAGAAGAUCAAACUAGACUUGAAAACUUUUUGAAGGAUUAUGAAGCGUCAAAGCCAACUAGAUUUUCUUAUGCCGAUAUCAAGAGAAUUACUGAUCAAUUCAAGGAAAAGCUGGGCGAAGGAGCUCAUGGAGCUGUCUACAAAGGUAAAUUAUCGAGUCAAAUUCUUGUUGCUGUGAAGAUGCUUAAUAAUACAGAAGGAGAUGGGAGAGAGUUCAUAAAUGAAGUAGGAACUAUGGGAAAAAUCCAUCAUGUUAAUGUUGUCCGGUUACUUGGCUUUUGCGCUGAUGGAUUUUAUCGUGCUUUGGUUUAUGACUUUUUCCCUAAUGGUUCGUUGCAAAAUUUCAUUUCUUCACCUGACAACAAGGAUGUUUUCCUUGGUUGGGACUUAUUGCAACAGAUUGCUCUAGGCAUUGCCAAUGGAAUUGAGUAUCUUCACCAGGGCUGUGAUCAAAGAAUUCUUCAUUUUGAUAUCAAUCCGCACAAUAUCUUGUUAGAUGACAAUUUUACUCCAAAAAUAUCAGACUUUGGUUUAGCCAAGUUGUGCUCCAAAAAUCAAACUAUUGUAUCGAUGACUGCGGCUAGGGGAACAUUAGGAUACAUGGCAC